AGAUUGAACGCUGGCGGCAGGCCUAACACAUGCAAGUCGAGCGGCAGCACGGGUACUUGUACCUGGUGGCGAGCGGCGGACGGGUGAGUAAUGCCUAGGAAUCUGCCUGGUAGUGGGGGAUAACGCUCGGAAACGGACGCUAAUACCGCAUACGUCCUACGGGAGAAAGCAGGGGACCUUCGGGCCUUGCGCUAUCAGAUGAGCCUAGGUCGGAUUAGCUAGUUGGUGAGGUAAUGGCUCACCAAGGCGACGAUCCGUAACUGGUCUGAGAGGAUGAUCAGUCACACUGGAACUGAGACACGGUCCAGACUCCUACGGGAGCAGCAGUGGGAAUAUUGGACAAUGGCGAAAGCCUGAUCCAGCCAUGCCGCGUGUGUGAAGAAGGUCUUCGGAUUGUAAAGCACUUUAAGUUGGAGGAAGGCAGUUACCUAAUACGUAUCUGUUUGACGUUACGACAGAAUAAGCACGGACUACGUCUGU
rnacentral:rRNA from 1 species